GACGAACCGUGCGAACGUUAUUCGGAAUCACUGGCUUAAAGCGCGUGUAGGCGGGACGGCACGUCGGUCGCUGAAAGCCCCCGGCUCAACCGGGGAACGGGCGCCGAUACGACCGGCCUGGAGGGACGUAGGGGGACCUGGAACUUCCGGUGGAGCGGUGAAAUGCGUUGAGAUCGGAAGGAACGCCCGUGGCGAAAGCGAGGUCCUGGACGUUUUCUGACGCUGAGACGCGAAAGCCAGGGAGCGAACGGG
rnacentral:rRNA from 1 species